ACGGAUCGGGCUGAAACUUUGGCAUCUGGGCCCGUUUGCUCGAAGCUGGUUAACUAACCGCGGUUAACUGGAUUUCCCUACGAGGGGGAAUUUUAGGUCACGUGACCUGCAGAGUAGGGACGCCGGAGUAAAAUAGUACCUAGCAUCAGACAAUAUGUCCAAUAUGGCUGCUACGGCCGCUCGUCACGCUUGGGAACAUUUAUUUUUACGAAGAUGCGUCAUCCUCGUGUCACGAAAAUGACAUUUCAACACAAAGUCUACUGUCGGAGUUGACGGCGAGCAUGCUGUGGGAGCAGGGCCACGCCUGACUGGUUUCGUCGAGUUUGAAUAACAUCACGCACCGCCCUCUGAAGAGUCAGCGGGAUCUUCAAAACGUAUAUCCUAGCGCAUCCACAACACCGACGACCCCCUUUAGCGACGGUUCAACGAAGGCAAGAUGCAAACUAAAAACUUCCCUCAGAAGCAAAGAUCCGUUACCUCAACAGAAGCUGCCGGCACGGAUGCCGGCACGGCAUUCGAUCGAACUUCGGUACUGUCGUCUGCGAACUUGUACAACUGGAAAAUAAACAAAGCUUCUAUCGGAAAAGAAGUGUGCAUAUUUUCUCUUGCGCUUGUCUUUCUUCAAUUUAUUUUGUUUCAGAUAACUAGAUGUCUUAUUAGGAUUAUAAAGAGAGACAUAAUUACGUAGCAGACGAUCACAACCAAUCUGAAAUCUAAAAUGAGUCAGGCGAAUGCAAGCAUCACCAUGAAACGGCAGAGGAAUUGGUCAUUGGAUGAACAAUUAGAACUAAUUCGGGCAGUGGGGGAGAGGAAACAUCAAAUUAUGGGCAAGUUCAGUGCUACGGUGACGAAAUUUACAGAGCCAUGGGCUGUUUGCGCACCCCAGACCAGCUACAACAGUGCUGGAGAAACCUCCUAGAAAAGA